GGCGGCGGCGGCGGCGGCGGGGCUCGUGCGGUUAUGCCGUGGCUGAGCGGCGGCCGGCGGCGGCGGCGGGGAGAGCCGCGGGAGGCCCCGCGGGAGCCGCCGCCGCCCGCGCAGCCCCCUCGGGAGCCGCCGCCGCCCGCGCCCCCCGUCGCGGCCCCUGCGCCCCCCGCGCCCUCCGCGCCGCCGCCGCCGCGGGCCCGGGAGAGCGCGGAGCUGCCGCUGCCCGCCGGCUGGGAGGAGGCGCGCGACUACGACGGCCGCGUCUUCUACAUCGACCACAACACGCGCCAGACGUCGUGGAUCGACCCCCGCGACCGGAUAACAAAGCCAUUGACCUUUGCCGAUUGUGUUGGGGAUGAACUUCCUUUAGGAUGGGAGACGGUAUACGAUAAACAAAUUGGAAUUUAUUACAUGGACCACAUAAAUAAGCUCACGCAGAUCGAGGACCCCCGCGAACAGUGGCGGCGCGAGCAGGAACGGAUGCUGAAGGAGUACUUGAUCGUGGCCCAGGAGGCGCUCAAUGCCAAGAAGGAGAUCUACCAGAUUAAGCAGCAGCGGUUCGAGCUGGCGCAGGAGGAGUACCAGCAGCUGCACAGGCUGUGCGAGGACGACAGCCGCUCCCACGCCAGCUCCUUCUCUGGAUAUUCAGCCAAUACAAAGUACGACCCAUACCAAAUUAAAGCAGAAAUAGCAAGUCGUCGGGAUAGGCUUUCCAGACUGAAACGCGAGCUGACGCAGAUGAAGCAGGAGCUGCAGUCCAAGGAGAAGGGGGUGGAGACCCUGCGAGAGAUUGAUCGGAAGAUGUCAAGCACUCACACCAGCUACAAACCGGAUGAGGCGCAGGCGAUAAUGACUGAGCUCCGGACCAUCAAGAAAGCCAUCUGCACCGGCGAGAAGGAGAGGCGGGACCUGAUGCAGAGUCUGGCCAAGCUGACCGAUGGCUUCAGGAAUAGCUUUUCUCUCAGCGACCCUCCGCAAGACUUCCCUCACAAUCCAGGUGUGCCCGGCGAUUCCUUACCUCAGCAGUUCUGCGAUGCUGGGUCUCAGACUGACAUCAUUGGAGAGUUUGUCUUUGAUGAUAAAACAAGACUUGUGGAUCGUGUCAGGCUUAAUUGGCAGUAUGAGGAGGCCAGAAAGAGAGUCUCGACGAUCCAGCAGCAGCUGGCCCAGCUUGAGAACGAGUCGUGGCCUGGCCUGGCGGAGGCCGACAGGGACCGGUUGCAGCUCAUCAAGGAGAAGGAAGCCCUGCUCCAGGAGCUGCAGCUCAUCGUCCAGCAGAGGAGGCCGGCGGAAGAUGUGGCGCGGCUGGAGGCGGAGAGGAGGCGCCUGGAGGAGGAGAUCCAGCGCGCCCGGGCCACGUCCGUGCAGGGCGCCACGGAAAGGAUUCUGCUUCAGGAAAAAAGAAAUUGUCUCCUUAUGCAGCUGGAAGAAGCUACCCGCUUGACAUCCUAUCUCCAGUCCCAGUUAAAAAGCCUGUCCGCCAGCACCCUGACUGUGUCUUCCGGGAGCAGUCGCGGGUCCCUGGCCUCCAGCCGGGGCUCGCUGGCCUCCAGCCGCGGGUCCUUGAGCUCCGUCAGCUUCACCGACAUCUACGGCCUCCCACAGUACGAGAAACCCGACGCCGAGUGUGGCCAGCUUCUGCGCUUCGAUCUCAUUCCCUUCGACUCCCUGGGACGAGACGCCCCCUUCUUGGACCCCCCGGUGCCCUCGGCCUUCCACAAGCAGAGGCGCUCCCUGGACACGCCGCAGUCCUUGGCCUCCCUGUCCUCCCGCUCCUCCCUGUCCUCUCUGUCCCCCCCGAGCUCGCCCUUGGACACGCCCUUCCUCCCCGCCUCGCGCGACUCGCCCUUGGCCCAACUGGGGGACGGUUUCGAGGUGCCCGGCCUGGGCACCCUCGACAGACUGCGGGCCCAGGCCUCUGCUUUGGGGGGUGAAGACUUGCAGGGCACGGCUGCCCUUCAGCCGCACGGGUUCCCCGGGGAUGGGGAAGGACCUCGCGAGCGAGGAGCCCAAGCGACCGUCGCUCCCACGGCUGCCCCAGUGACUCUGCGAGAAGACAGUGCCAGGAGGCUGGAGAGGAGAGCGCGCCGAGUGUCCGCAUGCCUGUCGGAUUAUUCGCUGGCGAGCGAUAGCGGGGUAUUUGAGCCUCUGAACAAAAGGAGUGAAGAUGCUGACGAGUCUGUGCCCGGAGACACCUGUGGGAAUGAAGGGCCCCAGAUCCACGUGGGAUUCUUGCUCGACAGCGCCAACGAGUGUCUUCUUGUGAACGUGCUCCAGCUGAAGAACGUGGCGGGGCUGGUCCUGAAGGAGGACAGCAAGAUACACAUCCGAGUCUAUCUGCCGCCGAUCGACUCUGGCACCCCGAACACUUACUGCUCUAAGGCUCUGGAAUUCCAGGCCCCCCUGGUAUUUAAUGAAAUUUUCAGAAUCCCUGUGCAUUCAAGCAUGUUGACGUUGAAGUCACUGCAGCUGUACGUGUGUGCGGUGACUCCGCAGCUGCCGGAGGAGCUGCUGGGCAUUGCUCAGAUCAACCUGGCCGACUACGACGGGUCCAGCGAAAUGCAGCUGCGCUGGUACGCGGUGCAGGUGUUCAGCAGCUGCGGGCCACCCAGGGCAAGGGAGAGCGAGCGGCUGGGGGCUGCUGCUGGGGACCCGGCACAAGCUGCCACUGCCGGGAAGACGGAUGCGGUGACGGCGCUGCUGGCCAGAACCACAGCCCAGCUGCAGGCCGUGGAGCGCGAGCUGGCCGAGGAGCGGGUGAAGCUGGAGUGCGCGGAGGACGAGAUCCUCGAGCUGGGGCGGAAGGAGGAGCUGGCCGAGGCCGUGUCCGAGAGGAGCUGGCAGGCCGACUCGGUGGACAGCGGCUGCAGCAGCUGUGCCCAGACCAGCCCCCCACACCCGGAGCCCUGCUGCGUGGGCGGCGACCCCCUCCACGGACAUGCAUUUGCUGGCCAGGCCGACCCUUUCAGCCCCGAGAAACUUCAGCCCCCACCUCUGAAGGUCGAUAAAGAAACCAACACAGAAGACGUCUUCCCGGACGAAGUGGCGAGUCUCCCGAAGGAGAGGCCCGGCCGCAGGGCCCGAGGGUCGCCUUUCGUUCGGAGUAGCACAAUCGUGCGGUCGCAGACCUUCUCCCCUGGAGCGCGAAGCCAGUACGUUUGCAGACUUUACCGUAGUGACAGCGACAGUUCAACGCUGCCCCGGAAGUCCCCGUUUGUCCGAAAUACCUUGGAAAGACGGACCCUUCGCUAUAAGCAGGGAGAAACACUGUCCCCACCCAUCAUGGAAGGACCUUACCACGGGCUGAGGUUGCUGGUUCCGCCGCACCCCCCCCCCCCCCCAGCGCGUGUGCUCACAGCUGUCGUCCCCGCAGCCCUGCAGGUCCUCCCUGGCCGAGCUCAUGGCCCGCACCUCCCUGGACCUGGAGCUGGAUCUCCAGGCUUCCAGAACGCGCCAGAGGCAGCUGAACGAGGAGAUCUGCACCCUGCGGGAACUGAGGCAGCGGUUGGAAGACGCGCAGCUCCGAGGCCAGACCGACCUCCCACACUGGGUGCUGCGGGACGAGCGGUUCCGGAGCCUGCUGAAGGAAGCCGAGAGGCAGACAAGACAGACCAAACUUGACUUCCAUCAAGAACAGGCAGCUGAGAAGAUGCUGAAGAAGGCCUCCAGAGGGGUGUGCCAGCUGCGGGGCCAGAACCACCAGGAGCCCAUCCAGGUGCAGACCUUCAGGGAGAAGAUAGCAUUUUUUACAAGACCAAGGAUUAAUGUGCCUCCUCUGCCUGCGGACGACGUUUGACAUAGUGCUUUGUACACAUGAAGUAUUUAUCCGCCUGUUUUAUUUUCAUGACGUCCUUAGACUAGCUGAAUUUGUCCUUAAAAUAUUUGUGCAAAGCUAUUAAUAUACACACUUUGUAAAAAAAAACACACACAUAUAUCUAUACGUAUAUAUUUUAUAAUAGUGACGGCAACAGGGCUUGGUUUUUCCUUGUUGUGAAACUGACAUCUCUGAAAACAGGUUAUUUUGUAAAAGAACAGCUGUCGUGUUAAGAAUGUACAGUUUUUACGCUGUUUUAUUUGACUUAAAGGCUGGAAGACAGAAACAAAGUGAGUUCAGGCAAAUUCACUGUAUUGUAAUUUAUUUAUAAUACUUUUUUUUCCUUGAAGGAAAAUACUGACUUUAAGAUGUAUUUUAAAGACUAAACUUUUGUGCUUCAGUAUUUGUCAUGCGGUUACAAUGGAGCUUUGGGGCCGGUUCUGUUUCUGCCACCCAAACCGCAAACACUCUGUGCUGAGCGCGUCACUUGUAUCCGUUUCCCGCGUGUACCUACCGUGCAUCUCGCACGCUCCACUCUCUGCCUUCACUCACGGUUGCACGCGCUGCGGCCCUGCGGGCGGCCCACGGGCCGUGCGAGCCGAGCUGUCCCCUGUGCAGACGGUGCACCGGCCACCUCUCCUGUCGUCUGCGUGUUUGUGCGCUCGCUGUGAGUCUGGGGCAGAUUCCCGGCCCCCGCAGCCCGGCCUCCGGCCUGCCCGUCCAGGGUGGCCGUCUGCACCGCCCGCCCACAGCAGACCGCCGGCAGCCCCCCCGGGAGCCUGCCCCAUCCGAUGCUCAUGACCGACGAGGCCGCGUGGAGCUCCCGCACUACGGCUCUGUCAGGAAGGGACGCCACGAGAGCUAGGAGCGCGCGUUUUCGCAGAAUCCGUGAGUCCGCGGGUGGACAGAGUGCUAUGACACAGACGCGACGGCCUUUGAAGGCGCUUGUCUGGGGAAGGCAGCGAGCACAUGUGGGGAGCGACGCUUGCCCAGGGAGUCACUUAUAGGAGAGUAUUUGAUUUAAAUCAAAAUCUGCCCCCCACCCCCCCAAUACUGGAGUCUGCCCAGUAUUUCUUAAGAAAUCUUAGAAAGUAGUUCAUGAGCAAAAAAAAUUUUUAUGUAAUAAAAAUAUACCAAUAUUCUUCUAAAAUGUCAAAUGAUCUGAAUGUUUUGCCGAAUGCCUAUUUAUUAUAUAAGAACUGUACUCUCCUUCCCGAGGCCUCAGGCACGUAAGCAAGGCGGCGCACACGAACCGCAAAGAAGACAGAGCUCUCGUUCUGCAUCUUCCUCCCCAUCCCUGGGAAACUCGCCCCUUGACUUGGUCUCUCUCUCUCUCUCCUCGUUAGUCUGUAACUGGCCCCUUGCAUAACCUGCCUGCCUCUUUCCAUUGCUAAAAUGCAUCUUGUAGAAGCAGUUCAUGGACGUGAGACCUCUGACGGACGGUGGGGCCUGUCACUGGCGCGGGGACUGGAGACGCUGUGCUUUCACAGCACGGCCCUUGCUCCAGGCGCGCUGCGUUUGUUGUUGGCUGAUUGCCCCGCGUCCGGAGCCCGCGGCGGGGGAGGGGGACGCGCCGAACCUCAGUCCCUGCCAGACCUGCCACCGCCACCCCCCCCCCCCCCAGCAAACCGCACUGGCAAGCAGGUGACGACAAUGACAGGCCUUCCCUGUGCCCCCAGCUCGUGACACUUUGAACUCCAACGAAGAACUGUCCGCCACCAACUUGGGUGUCUUGGGGGCCCUGCUCCCGGGCUGUAGAGGAGUCCCCGGGCUGCGGUGCCUGGCGGCUGUUUCUCAGCACCUGCCGCACGGAGCGCUCCUCGAGGCAGCUUUUCCUCCUGCCCCUGCCAGUAACGGUCACUCCAGAAGGCCCUCAGCGUGGGGGUUUCGGUUAACUUCACUGCCCAGUAGAUCUAGGCUUCUGUUUGGGGUGCCCCCCAUACACACCCCAGAGUUUAGUUGGGUGGGUGCGUGUGUGCGUGUGCGUCCGUGUGUGUGUGUGUGUGUGUGUGUGUGUGUGUGUUUAAAAAGCGCUUCACCCCCUAGAGUCGAAUACAGUCCCUACUCCAGUGUCUGUCCAAGGAGCGCUUGGAUUUGCCACCAAACUUCUCCCGCCUCCCGGCCAGGGUCUCCCUCUGCACCUGAAUGGGACCAGAGUGAGCGGGAGGGAAAAGCCAGACAGAUGGGGGAGGGGGAGGGCAGGGGGCUCCGCGCUGCUCCGGCCGGGCUCUGUGAGCGACAGGCCAGCCGAGCUGGCGGGUGGACAGGAGGUCCCAUGAUUGGCUUCUCUCUCCUGACCUGGUUUUGCAGCUUCUUUCUAGUGAAGACUGCCCCCCACACUCACACACAUCGGGAAAGUGAAGUCCUGUUGUCGGAAGGGCUGUUUCCAUCUUCUGCUUGAACUUGCCCAUAACCGUGCCUUGGGAUAAGAAAGCUGCCGUGUUUGACCAGCACUUCUGGCCCAGAGACAAUCCCAAGUCCGCCACCAGGAUUCUUUAGAAACGGUGCGACGAGAGGAAGGGAAUUUGGUCUUCACGUCCUGCCAUCUCUGAAUUGUCACUGCUGAAAUGACCUAUCCUGGGAAUACGUUAGACUCAGUAUUCAUCUCUGUUUUUGUCACUCUUCCCUCAUUGUGUCAUUUGUACCGUUUGAAAGUAUUCCUUCUAUAAAAUUAAACUAACCUGCCUUAAGAACAGAA